AUUCAAGGUCUUAAAGAUUGUAAAGAGGUUGCAACUUUCAUAUUGUUUGGAACCAUUAACCAUAUCUUGGAUGAGGAUGACUGGUGGUAUACGGCUUGUGUUUGCAACAAAGCUGUUUAUCCAGAUUCAAAGAUGUUCUUUUGCGAGAAGUGUAACAAGCAUGUUAUAAAAGUCUUUCCAAGAUAUAGGAUUAAGGUUCGAGUUAUUGACUCAUCCGAUUCCAC